GACGAACGCUGGCGGCGUGCUUAACACAUGCAAGUCGAACGGAAAGGCCCUGCUUUUGCGGGGUGCUCGAGUGGCGAACGGGUGAGUAACACGUGAGUAACCUGCCCUUGACUUUGGGAUAACUUCAGGAAACUGGGGCUAAUACCGGAUAGGAGCUCCUGCUGCAUGGGGGGGUUUGGAAAGUUUCGGCGGUUGGGGAUGGACUGGCGGCUUAUCAGCUUGUUGGGGGGGUAGUGGCUUACCAAGGCUUUGACGGGUAGCCGGCCUGAGAGGGUGACCGGCGACAUUGGGACUGAGAGAGGGCCCAGACUCCUACGGGAGGCAGCAGUGGGGAAUAUUGCCCAAUGGGCGGAAGCCUGAUGCAGCAACGCCGCGUGCGUGAAGACGGCCUGCGGGUUGUAAACCGCUUUCGCCUGUGACGAAGCGUGAGUGACGGUAAUGGGUAAAGAAGCACCGGCUAACUACGUG
rnacentral:rRNA from 1 species